AACGGGUGAGUAAUACAUCGGAACGUGCCCAAUCGUGGGGGAUAGCUCGGCGAAAGCCGGAUUAAUACCGCAUACGAUCUACGGAUGAAAGCAGGGGAUCGCAAGACCUUGCGCGACUGGAGCGGCCGAUGGCAGAUUAGGUAGUUGGUGGGGUAAAGGCUCACCAAGCCGACGAUCUGUAGCUGGUCUGAGAGGACGACCAGCCACACUGGGACUGAGACACGGCCCAGACUCCUACGGGAGGCAGCAGUGGGGAAUUUUGGACAAUGGGCGCAAGCCUGAUCCAGCAAUGCCGCGUGCAGGAUGAAGGCCUUCGGGUUGUAAACUGCUUUUGUACGGAACGAAAAGGCUCUGGCUAAUACCCGGGGCUCAUGACGGUACCGUAAGAAUAAGCACCGGCUAACUACGUGCCAGCAGCCGCGGUAAUACGUAGGGUGCGAGCGUUAAUCGGAAUUACUGGGCGUAAAGCGUGCGCAGGCGGUGAUGUAAGACAGUUGUGAAAUCCCCGGGCUCAACCUGGGAACUGCAUCUGUGACUGCAUCGCUGGAGUGCGGCAGAGGGGGAUGGAAUUCCGCGUGUAGCAGUGAAAUGCGUAGAUAUGCGGAGGAACACCGAUGGCGAAGGCAAUCCCCUGGGCCUGCACUGACGCUCAUGCACGAAAGCGUGGGGAGCAAACAGGAUUAGAUACCCUGGUAGUCCACGCCCUAAACGAUGUCAACUGGUUGUUGGGAAUUUGCUUUCUCAGUAACGAAGCUAACGCGUGAAGUUGACCGCCUGGGGAGUACGGCCGCAAGGUUGAA
rnacentral:rRNA from 1 species